AUGGCGUGGUGCAGACAUUUAUGAAUUAGGUCUUUAAGCCUCUCCCAAGUCUCAUGGAUUAUUUUUCCAUCCAUUUGGGAAAAACUGGUAAUGACUUUUCUAAUUU